rfam:Pluralibacter gergoviae strain JS81F13 contig_12, whole genome shotgun sequence.
GCUCUGAGUAUAAGCGGUCAGCGCGGCCCACCGGCGCGCGGGACAUUGCUCUGCAG